UGAAGUUCACUGUGACGUACUGCUGGGCCCAGCACCAAGGUGAUGUGAGUCUCCUGCCUGGAGCCUGCACACAGGGGCUAUUGUGACAUAUCUCUGGGCCCAUUUACUAUUUGUUGUUACUCUCUUCUCUUACCUUGGCUUUGCCUGUAGGAGAGGCAAAUCCCAGCACUUUGGGAGACCAAGGCGGGACAUAACUCUGGGCCCAGCACCUAGGUGAUGUGACUCCCUUUUCUGCCUGGAUGGUGCUCACAGAAGAGAAAGUGACUUAUUUCUGGGCCCAGCAGAGAGGUGAUGUGAUUCUUCUGCCUGGUCCCUGCCCACAAAACUCAUUGUGACUUAACUCUGGGCCCAUCACCUAAAUGACGUGACUCUCCUCUUCUUCCUGUGUCCUGUACAUGGUUCUGCCCACAAGGGAGAUUUUGACUUAUUGCUGUCCUCAAAAUGAAGAAGAGACUAUGAAAUAUCUCUGGGCCCAGCAAAUAGGUGAUGUGACUCUUCUCUACUGCUUGGGCUCUGCUCAUGAGAAAAUUGUGAUGGAUUGCUGAACCCAGCACCUAGGUAAUGUAACUCUCUUCUCUUGCCUGGGCCCGGCAUAAAUUGUGUAUUGUGACAUGGGGCUCGAUCACAAACCUAGGUAAUGCUACUCUCUUGCAUUGGCUCUGCCCACCAGGGUAUUAUGACACAACUUUUCAUUCAUCGCCUAGGCGAUGUGACCCCCCGCUUCUGCUUGAAUCUUGCCAAAAGAGGAAAUGAUAACAUAUCACUAUACUCAGCACCUAGGUGCCAUGACUUGCCUUUUUCCCCAGGCAAUGCAUAUAUUGGGAAUUAUGACAUAUCACUGGACCCAACAUGUAGGGAAUAAAAGACUCCUGCCUGUGUUCUGCUGACCUAGAACCUUGUGAAAUAUCUCUGCAUCUAUCACCCAGAGAAUCUGACUCUCCUUUUCUGCAUGUACCCUGUCC
rnacentral:lncRNA from 10 species